UGGUGCCUACGGGACGCAGCAGUGAGGAAUAUUGGUCAAUGGGCUUACGCCUGAACCAGCCAAGUCGCGUGAGGGAUGACGGCCCUACGGGUUGUAAACCUCUUUUGUCGGGGAGCAAGACCCGCCUCGUGCAGGCGGAGCGAGAGUACCCGAAGAAAAAGCAUCGGCUAACUCCGUGCCAGCAGCCGCGGUAAUACGGAGGAUGCGAGCGUUAUCCGGAUUUAUUGGGUUUAAAGGGUGCGCAGGCGGACCAUCAAGUCAGCGGUAAAAUCGUGGGGCCCAACCCCAUCCCGCCGUUGAAACUG
rnacentral:rRNA from 1 species